rnacentral:rRNA from 1 species
AGCCUGAACGCUGGCGGCGUGGCUAAGACAUGCAAGUCGCACGGAGGUAGCAAUACCUUAGUGGCGAACGGGUGAGUAAUGUAUCGCUAACGUACCCUUUAGUCCGGGAUAGCCAGGGGAAACUCUGGGUAAUACCGGGUGAUAUUCUUCUUCCGCAUGGUUGGAGACUCAAAGGAGCAAUCCGCUGAAGGAGCGGGGCUAGGCAAGGCGUCAGUA